rnacentral:rRNA from 1 species
CCUACGAGUGGCAGCAGUAGGGAAUCUUCCACCAUGGACGAAAGUCUGAUGGAGCAACGCCGCGUGAGUGAAGAAGGGUUUCGGCUCGUAAAGCUCUGUUGGUAGUGAAGAAAGAUAGAGGUAGUAACUGGCCUUUAUUUGACGGUAAUUACUUAGAAAGUCACGGUUAACGACGUGCCAGCAGCCGCGGUAAUACGUAGGGGGCAAGCGUUGUCCGUAUUUAUUGGGCGUAAAGCGAGGGCAGGCGGUUCAAUAAGUCUGAUGUGAAAGCAUGCGGCUCAACCGGAGAAUUGCAUCAGAAACUGUUGAACUUGAGUGCAGAAGAGGAGAGUGGAACUCCAGGUGUAGCGGUGGAAUGCGUAGAUAUAUGGAAGAACACCAGUGGCGAAGGCGGCUCUCUGAUCUGCAACUGACGCUGAGGCUCGAACGCAUGGGUAGCGAACAGGAUUAGAUACCCGAGUAGUC